GAGGAAUUGGUGUUUUCUUUAUUUAUCUGGAAAGUAAAAAAAAUUUUGUAUUUAGAAUCUGUAAUAUAAUCUAGUCUGGCUGUGUUUCCUUUCUCGAUAUUAUUGUGUUUUUGUGGUACCGUUCUUAAAAGUUAGAUUGUUUUUUGGAGUUUUCGUUAUUAUUACUGAGUUCGGUAAUGUUUUUAUAUUUUGUGUAUUAGUUAAAGUAAAGAGUAAGUCAGAAAAUGUAGUGCAUUCCUGUCUGGGCGUCUUCUUUCUUUUCGCGAUUUUCAUAAUGAAUUACGUUACGUAAAUAUAAGCUUCGAGACGGCCAUUUUCCCUGCCUCCCUCUCUGUCUGUACAUCAAUAUUCAGCUAAACUCCCCAGUGUUUCCAGACUUGAAGUGAAGAAAAAAGAGAAUUGACCACGGAAAUAGAUAAACAACCCCAAAAGUGCCUCAAAUAAGACAUUGAGUAGUGCCCCGUUCAGAGCGCACACUCCGAAAACGCGACGUCAUCAGACCUUUCCCCUUGGCCGCCACUGUGUGUGUGUGUGUGAUUCACACACACUGCUUGUCACCCAGCAAGCCGUUCCCCUACGGAAAGAGCUCAGACUGAUCUUCGGGCGCCAUGUUCGACCAGGAUUCCAGGGUGAUCCAGAGCGCCUUCCUGCACGCCAUCCAGCACUACAGUCAAAACACCGCGGGCAGGAGGCUUCAGCUUCACGCCUUUGUGGGCAUCAUCAGUAUGGCGGAUGCCUUCAAGAUCUCCAGACUGAUGUGAUGUCGUGCGCUCUGUUCCCUUCCAUUCAUCGCGCUGCGUUUUCCUCUCCCAAGCUUUGGCUCACGCUAAAGCCGCAGAUACAUUUAGAUUUCUUUGUAUUCUAUACUAAUGAAACACCACUAUUGCCUUUUGCUUUGUUGUUGCUUUUGUUGUUGUUGUUGUUGUUGUUGUUGUUAUUGUUGUUGUUGUUGUUGUAGAAAUAGGAUA